UAGAAGCUUCUGGAUUGUCUUCU
rnacentral:piRNA from 1 species